rnacentral:rRNA from 1 species
UAUGUAGGUGGCAAGCGUUGUCCGGAUUUACUGGGCGUAAAGAGCGCGCAGGCGGUCGUUCAAGUCGCGUGUGAAAGCCCCCGGCUCAACCGGGGAGGGUCACGCGAUACUGAUCGACUCGAAGGCAGGAGAGGGUAGUGGAAUUCCCGGUGUAGUGGUGAAAUGCGCAGAUAUCGGGAAGAACACCCGUGGCGAAGGCGGCUCUCUGGGACGGUACUGACGCUGAGACGCGAAAGCGUGGGGAGCGAACAGG